rnacentral:lncRNA from 1 species
UGACACUUCAUAAAUUUCUCGGCUGAAAUUCCAACCAACUGCCAUUACUAUCUCCCACCAGCAGAUGGCGCCACCCUGGCCCUACUUCCCAGUGCUCUUCUGGCAUUCCGGAUGUUCUCAGUUUCCUUCGCGCGCCGCUUACCUCAGCCUGUGGAACUUCUGGAAGCAGCAGCAGCAACUGUGGGUGGUUCAGUGCCAAAUUGUCACAGGUUGGCUUGUGGACACAUCUUAUUCUUAGUUUGGAAAGGAAAAUGUUUCUACAUUUAGAAUUCUAUUGACUUCUUCCUUUUAUUUUGUCUUUUAGCCUUGAAAAUAUUGUGCUUCGUUAUUUCGGGCACAGCACAGAUUCAGUUGAGAAGGCAGCUAUCUUUAAUUCAUCUUUCCUAGAGAGAUGGUGUCUCACUCUGUCACUCAGGCUGGAGUGCAGUGGUGUGAUCUCGGCUUAUUUCAGCCUUCACGUCCCAGAUUCAAGCAAUUCUCCUGCCUCAGCCUCCUGAGCAUUUGGUACUACAGUCUUGAAAGAUGCUGCCCCAUUUUCUCCAUGUCUCCAUGGAUGCUCUUGAGAAGACAGCCAUUGUUUAAAUCAUUAUUCCCAGCAUGA